CCUACGGGGGCAGCAGUGAGGAAUAUUGGUCAAUUGCCCACAGGCCGAACCAGCCAAGUCGCGUGAGGGAAGAAGGCCUUACGGGUUGUAAACCUCUUUUGUCGGGGAGCAAAGAGAGUCACGUGUGACGCAUUGAGAGUACCCGUAGAUAAAGCAUCGGCAAAUACGGUGCCAGCAACCGCGGUAAUACGGAGGAGUCGACCGUUAUCAGGAUUUAUUGGGUUUAAGGGGUGCGCAGGCGGAGGGGCAUGUCAGCGGUCAAAUUGCGGGGCUAAACCACGUACUGCCGUUGAAACUGCAUCCCUUGAGUGCGGGAGAGGUAUGCGGAAUGCGUGGUGUAGCGGUGAAAUGCAUAGAUAUCACGCAGAACUCCGAUUGCGAAGGCAGCAUACCGGCGCGCAACUGACGCUCAUGCACGAAAGCGUGGGUAUCGAACAGGAUUAGAUACCCUGGUAGUC
rnacentral:rRNA from 1 species